CCUCUCCUUUAACGAGAUUAUUCUAGAAUAUCUAUGUGGAUUGAUGUCUUUGGUGUAGACACUGUAGGGACUAUAUCCUGUGUAUUCAUUGUAUAUAGUUGAUUGGUUAUGAUAUGAAGCUUAUUAUACUGUGUUAAUAGAACCCAAAAUCAGUUAUGUUGCUUACUAAUUUCCAUGCUGGGAAGUUCUGGGCAGCCACAAAGGUCUCCUCCAUUCUCCUGCUCACAUGUGUUGUUUGUGCAGAUCUCCCCUGCACAGGGGUCAUAGAUCCAUUCUGCUAAAGACAUGUCCAGGCACAAAGUUAGUACACACACACACACCGUUCAUUCCCACACACCCCGUUCAUUCAUACCAUUCAUAGAUUAAGAGGCAUGUGUGAGAGAAAACUUCAUAGAAAUAAUAAAAACUGCUUUUCUGUGCUUAAUUCUUUACUAGCUUACUAGCCAGGGUUUGACUUUUUUCACUUUUCAUGCAUUUUCUACAUUAGGUGAUGUGACUGCAGUUUACAGUUUUUCUACUAGGAGUAAACAGACUAAACACAAGGUGGCAGUGUGCCCUUACAGCAGUUCUCCUGGGCAAUCCACUUGGUGGUGAGCGUGCCAAACGAGCGGCAGGCCUCAGCAUAUGCAGCCAUAGAUCCGCAAACCUGAGCCCUACGGUGGUUGUAGCAGCCAUCCAGGUAACAGGAUUGGUAGAAAGGUUGUGGGUCCAAAAGGCCAUGACAUGGCUGGAAAAAGCCCUUUGGCUGGGUGCAUGGACAUCUGCUGCCAGGCCUCUUUCAACUAAUCCACAGCGUGGGCAGGCAUCACCACAUCCUACUUGACAGAAGGUGUCACGCUCUGCCCACAUCAUGCCCCAUUCGCUGACACUAAGGGCAG